AUUACUAUCCAGACGGGUUUUUCCUGUCCCUUCUACAUGUGAUUCUUCACAAGAUGCGAUCAUUUUGUUAAAUAAUUUGAAAACUCUUUUUCUCAGGCAUUGAAGUUUUCGUGAGGUCACGAGGCGAUACAAUCCUCAGCUUAUCUCAGGCCCCCGGAGCUGAAACCACUGUGGCCAGAAAGGUCAACGCCUCCCCCUUGUGUCAGCUGUUUGGACUCUCAUUCUGAUGGCACCCAUUCACUGCAGAGAUGGAUUGGUGA